AGAUGUAGAGUCUUUUGGACCUGA
rnacentral:snRNA from 1 species